GCCAGCGGUGGAGCAUGCUGUUUAUUCGACAAUACGCGAAGAACCUUACCUAGGUUUGACAUCCCCGGCAAAGCUAUAGAAAUAUAGUGGAGGUUAUCCGGGUGACAGAUGGUGCAUGGUUGUCGUCAGCUCGUGUCGUGAGAUGUUUGGUUAAGUCCAACAACGAGCGCAACCCUCGUCUUAAGUUGCUAACAUUAAGUUGAGAACUCUUAAGAUACUGCCAGUGCAAGCUGGAGGAAGGUGGGGAUGACGUCAAAUCAUCAUGCCUCUUACAUCUAGGGCUACAGGCGUGCUACAAUGGCCGAUACAACGAGUUGCAACACAGCGAUGUGAAGCUAAUCUCUUAAAGUCGGUCCCAGUUCGGAUUGGAGUCUGCAACUCGACUCCAUGAAGUUGGAAUCGCUAGUAAUCCCGAAUCAGAAUGUCGGGGUGAAUACGUUCCCGGGUGUUGUACACACCGCCCGU
rnacentral:rRNA from 1 species